GGCGCAAUAAUCGGUGUAGAAAGAAAGGGUCCAAAUGCAGACGUUGUAUUAUAUUGCAAAUAGUGGACUAAUAUGAUUUAUUAUACAAUUAGUCAUAUUAAUUCAACAAUUUUUAGGGAUAAUGGGCUACAAAACGUUUAAUAGUAUAUUAUAAUUUGUUGAAAUGACACGUUAUUGGGGGUUGAAUUUACAUAAACUUGACUGAUUUAGAAAGAUGUCGAAUUAUUAAAUAAUAAAGAGUUUUGUGUAUUUGAAUUUUCAAUUUUGACAAUUUCAAGACAUGGGCAUGCAGAAAAAUUCAAGGUGGGGGCGAUUGCCACAGUAAAAUGUAAUUGGUCAGUCUAUGUUUAAAGAGAAUUUGCACUCUAUACCCAAACAUUAUAUCAUAUUUAGGUGUAUAUCAUGUUUAAAAGGCUAAACUUUUUGGCCUUAAUAAAGAUAAAAUCCUGCCCCCGUUGAUUCGGCUUGUGCUCAAAUCCAUUGCAAGUCUAUAUGGGUUUUAGUAUUCAUCGUCAGCAAAGUUAUAAACAUCGUUACAGUUAAAUUACUUUUCUUAAAACAUAAUUUUUUUGUCAACUUCUUAAAACAUAAUUAAUUUGUACUUUUCACUUUUCGGUUAGUUAUUUCUAUUUAUGUGCUUCUACAGAACAUCAACAUGCCUUUAUUGAACCAAACAUUAGAAAGUCCGUUAUUCAUCAUAACUAUCUAGAGAAUUUUAUAGCUUGUCCUCUCUUGUAGAUUUACGAUUUUUUCAUACGAAUACAAUUCUGAGAAUUUCUGUUUGUUCCGAAAA
rnacentral:lncRNA from 1 species